GACGAACGCUGGCGGCGUGCUUAACACAUGCAAGUCGAACGGAAAGGCCCUGCUUUUGUGGGGUGCUCGAGUGGCGAACGGGUGAGUAACACGUGAGUAACCUGCCCUUGACUUUGGGAUAACUUCAGGAAACUGGGGCUAAUACCGGAUAGGAGCUCCUGCUGCAUGGUGGGGGUUGGAAAGUUUCGGCGGUUGGGGAUGGACUCGCGGCUUAUCAGCUUGUUGGUGGGGUAGUGGCUUACCAAGGCUUUGACGGGUAGCCGGCCUGAGAGGGUGACCGGGCAGAUGGGGAAUGAGAUACACCAGAGGCUGACACGGGAGGCAGCAGUGGGGAGUGCUGUAAGAGGGUCGGGAGCGUGAGGCAGCAACGCCGCGUGGGGGAUGCGGGCGGUAGGGUUGGGAACAGAUAACGACCGUGAAAAAGCGUGAGAGACGGGACGGGAUGAAUCAACAACAGCAAGCUACGUG
rnacentral:rRNA from 1 species